rnacentral:rRNA from 1 species
GACGAACGCUGGCGGCGUGCUUAACACAUGCAAGUCGAACGAAAAGAGGGAAAGAGCUUGCUCUUUCCGGAAUUGAGUGGCAAACGGGUGAGUAACACGUAAACAACCUGCCUUCAGGAUGGGGACAACAGACGGAAACGACUGCUAAUACCGAAUACGCUUGGGAGACCGCAUGAUCUUCCAAGGAAAGGGUGGCCUCUACUUGUAAGCUAUCGCCUGAAGAGGGGUUUGCGUCUGAUUAGGCAGUUGGUGAGGUAACGGCCCACCAAACCUACGAUCCAGUAGCCGGUCUGAGAGGUUGACCGGCCACAUUGGGACUGAGACACGGCCCCAGACUCCUACGGGAGGCAGCAGUGGGGAAUAUUGGGCAAUGGGCGCAAGCCUGACCCAGCAACGCCGCGUGAAGGAAGAAGGCUUUCGGGUUGUAAACUUCUUUUGUCGGGGACGAAACAAAUGACGGUACCCGACGAAUAAGCCACGGCUAACUACGUG